CCUACGGGUGGCAGCAGUAGGGAAUAUUGCUCAAUGGGGGAAACCCUGAAGCAGCAACGCCGCGUGGAGGAUGAAGGUCUUAGGAUUGUAAACUCCUUUUGUUAGAGAAGUUUAUGACGGUAUCUAACGAAUAAGCACCGGCUAACUCCGUGCCAGCAGCCGCGGUAAUACGGAGGGUGCAAGCGUUAUGCGGAAUCACUGGGCGUAAAGAGUGCGUAGGCGGGUUAAUAAGUCAGAUGUGAAAUCCUGUAGCUUAACUACAGAACUGCAUUUGAAACUGUUACUCUGGAGUGUGGGAGAGGUAUGUGGAAUUCUUGGUGUAGCGGUGAAAUGCGUAGAUAUCAAGAAGAAUACUCAUUGCGAAGGCGACCUGCUGGAACAUUACUGACGCUGAUGCACGAAAGCGUGGGGAGCAAACAGGAUUAGAUACCCCGGUAGUC
rnacentral:rRNA from 1 species